rnacentral:misc_RNA from 1 species
CAGAGUUGCAAAACUCCCAAACCAUUGUGAACGUUACCCACACCGUUGCUUCGGCGGGCGGCCCGGGCCCUGCGCCCGGCGCCCCUCGGCCCCCCGCGGGCGCCCGCCGGAGGUAAACCAAACUCUUGAAUUGCAUGGCCUCUCUGAGUCUUCUGUACUGAAUAAGUCA